AGAAACCCUGUCUCUACUAAAAAUACAAAAAUUAGCCGGGUGUGGUGGCAGGCACCUAUAAUCCCAGCUACUCGGGGGGCUGAGGCAGGAGAAUCACUUGAACCCAGGAGGCAGAGGUUGCAGUGAGCUGAGAUUGUGCCACUGCACUCCAGCCUGGGCAACAGAGCAAGACUCUGUCUCAAAUAAUAAUGAUAACAAUAAUUUUACACCAGAUCUGAGGUGAGGUAAUUAGACCCAAGGUUUUAAAAUUCAAAUAAAUAAAUAAAUUUUAUUUUCUGGACUCCAAAGUCCAGAAAAGAGGAAGAUAAGCUUCCUAAGCAUCUUUCUGACUUGGUAGAUACAUUUCAUGCUGGUCCACUUUUUAACUCAAAGAUCUCAAUUUAUUCACCUUCACCUCCCUAACCUUUGUGGAUUCAAGAGUUUAUCUCUAGUCCCUUUGUAGCUUCUAGGACAGCCACAGGAUUAUCUGCUGUGCUCAGUGUUUCAUUCCUUCUUCACUCUGGCACUUGGAGAUUCUCCUUUAUAACUUGUGAGUUUAGCUACUCAAGAGGAUUAUUGUUGUAUUUUAUUUAGCAAUUCUUUGAAUGUAAGGGUAGAUUUUCCUAGUCCUCUUAUUGAAAUUGGAAGGUUUGGCCUUGUUAAAGGAUGAUUUUCACUUUUUUUUUUUUUUUUUUGAGACAGGCAGGAAUGCAGUGGCACACUGUGUCACAGUGGCACUGCUCUGUCAGUCAGGCAGGAAUGCAGUGGCACAAUCACGGCUCACUGCAGCCCUGACCUCCAAGCAAUUCUCCCCCUUCAGCCUCUUGAGUAGCUGGGACUACAGGCAUGUGCCAUCACAUCUGGCUAAUUUUUAAUUUUUAUUUCUAUUUUUAUUUUUUGUAGAGAUGAGGUUUCACUAUGUUGUCCAGGCUGGUCUCAAACUCCUGGGCUCAAGUGAUCCUCCCGCCUUGGCCUCCCAAAGUGCUGGAAUUAUAGGCAUGAGUCACUGUGCCUGGCCAAGGAUGAUUUUCACAAAGGGGUAAAAUUAUGACUCUAUACAGAUAUAAAAUGAACAUGUGUUAAAGAUUUUAUUUAAGUCAUUAUAAAUGAAGAAAUAGUAAGAUGUUAAACAACGAGUUCAAAGGAGAAGUCAAAGAAGCACACAUUUAUGUGGAGCAAAGCAAUACUGAAAUCAAUUUACAAAUGGAUGGAGAAACUGACUUUUUCAACAGGGGGCAGAAAAUUGGAUCUCUAACAAAAUGUCUUUGUAAACAACACUAACUUUGCAUUGUUAUCACUUACUGACAAUUUACAGGGUUGUAAAAUAAUUCAAAAGCAAUGGAAAGGUACAAUCAGAUAACCUGAAACGUGGGUUCUAAAUAGUGCUUAGUUUUCCAUUUGAGAUACCCAAUAAUCUUUUUUGCUAUUUCCAAAUGUUCUAACCUUGGAUUUUAUAGGAAUUUUUCAGAGAAGACUUUGUUAUAUAUUUUACCUUCAUAGUGAAAGAAAACAGUAUUUUUUACUCUAUCUUUUGCUCAGUUGAUAGAGCCAAACUUUGGAGUAGGAGUCAGGGAUAAAGCAAAGGAACUAUAGUCAGGUACUGUAUAGUAAUGUUUUGGUCAACAUUUGACCACAUAUAUGACGGUGGUCCUAUCAAAUUAUAAUGAAAUUGAAAAAUUCCUAUUUCCUAGUAGCAUCAUAGCUGUCAUAAGCCAUCAUAAUGUCAUAAUGCAAUGCAUCAACUUUUCUAUGUUUAUAUAUAUUUAGAUACACAAAUAGUUACCAUUGUGUUACAAUUGCCUACCACAUUCAGUACAGCAAUAUGCUGUAUGGGUUUAUAGCCUAGAAGCAAUAGGCUAUACCAUGUAGCCUAAGUGUGUAGUAGGCUAUGUUAUCUAGGUUUAGUACAGUGUAAGAUGUUCACAUAAUGGUAAAAUUGUGAUGUAUUUCUCAGAUGUUCCUGUUAAGUGACACCUGACUGCAUUUGAACAUCAUUCUUCCCAUUUUCUCCAGAAACUUCUGAGAAACUCUAAGGGGCCAUUAAAUGAAUACUUGAUUCUAGUCACUCUUGGCAAGUUACCUAUCAGGUGCUUUAUCUAUUUAUGGAAGAAUUGGUGAUGGGCAGUAGGGGGCUAUUGUUGAUUUGUGGAAUAUGCACACAGUAUAAAUAUUUUAAGGUUCUGGGAACAGAAAAUCCAUUCUCCAUCGACCUAUGCCAAACAGCUCCCUGUGAAAUGCAUUUUGGAAACCACUGCAGAAGCUUGAAAGAUGAAGUUACAUUCAGGAUUUUCAUCUAGAUUUCAAGGUUGGGCCUUAUCACUUUUGUUUCUGGGAAGGAAGAUUCAGCAGAUUUUGCUCCUAUAUUAUCAGAGUUCUGAAAGCACUUUGGGGACACCUCUGUAUGCCCAGCCCAGGGAACUCUAAAGGCGUUAGAGGGAUAAUAUGUUUUGAGGUGGGAUAAAAGGCAAGAGAGAUGACCUCUUCCUCUAGCAGUGGGCAAGCAGCUGGCUCUGCUUUUCACUGAUUUUAUGGCUUUGUCUGUGAAGCAACAACAGUGUUCCACAGAGAGGCCCUUGACUGAGACAGUUGCUGUUACUGAGCAGAAGAGAGCCAGGGGGUGCAGUAAAAUGUGGAAAGCAUUCUGUUUCCUCUAAAUGUGGGAAGAAAUGAAAAACUUAUGGGGGAGAAAAGCUGAUAAUUUUGCUCUGAAUACUUUAGUAGAAUCUGAGGAGUGGAAUUAACAGGUUGAAGGAUAUGUGCAUAUUAUAAUCAGUGUCAUGUAGUUCCUGUAAAUUAAUUUCAUAAAGCUUAUAUGGAAACAAGGAGACUUGGUAACAUGGAAAUCAAUAAUAAGUGAGAAGGGCAGGACAUAAAAUACAUGUACUGAUAUAUACAUACUAAAAUGGGAAAGGAAUAUGAAAAUAUUAGCUUGGUGGAUUUUUUUGUGAUAGGGUUAUGUGGGUGUUUUAAAAAAAAUGUAUAAUAUAUUUGUUCGUUUGCUUGUUUUGAGACAAGGUCUCUGUUGCCCAGGCUGUAAUGCAGUGGUGUGAUCAGCUCACUGUAGCCUCUACCUCCCCGGCUGGAGCAAUUUUCCCACCUCAGGCUUCGGAGUAGCUGGGACUACAGGUACCAGCCACCACACCCAGGGCUUUCAGAAAUGUUGCAAGAUUAAAAGAAGAAGCAACCACAAUUCAAACGUUCUCCCGACCUCUUGUAAAAGCCAGAGAAACGAGGAAACCCGGCAUUGUUGAGGGUGGGAGAGCGGAGCUGCGAGCUGCUGGUCCCCUGGGGCUGGGGGUGGCGCGGGCGGGGUUUGGGGCGACCCUUUGGAGGAGAUCGCCGGUCCCCCAGCGAGGUGUGGAGGAUGAGCGCCUUAGGACCACCGUGAGCGACCACCCCGAAGAAGUCAGUGGAGGUCGUGACAGACUGCAAGCGAGACCCAUUCCAUUUCCAUCUGCGCUGCAACAGCGGAGGAGGAGAGACGACACACGACCUAGAUCACUCCGGGAGGAGGGUCUGAAUUAAGGUGAUAGUAAGUCCGAGUUUGUGACCUGAGAUUCAUACUACAAACCCCGCGGAGAACAAGGAAGAGGACCGAGAGCUUUUGUCCCGUGCUUGUGAGCUGAAGCCAGGUGUUUGAAGUGUUUGAUCUUCUAGAAAGCCCUUGCCCACCUAAAGUAAUUGGGUACAGCUGAGGUUCUCAAACUUGAGCGUGCACCACAAUCACCCGAGGGGUAAUUAAAACCUGGAGUGCACUUUGGGAGGCCGAGGCGGGCGGAUCACGAGGUCAGGAGAUAAAGACCAUCCUGGCUAACACGGUGAAACCCUGUCUCUACUAAAAAUAAAAAAAAUUAGCCGGGCAUGAUGGCGGGCGCCUGUAGUCCCAGCUACUCGGGAGGCUGAGGCAGGAGAAUGGCGUGAACCCGGGAGGCGGAGCUUGCAGUGAGCCGAGAUUGCGCCACUGCACUCCAGCCUGGGCAACAGAGCGAGACUCCGUCUCAAAAAAAAAAACCAACAACAACAACAACAACAACACCUGGAGUGCUGGGGACCCCAUUCCCAGAGUUUCUGAUUCAGUGGGCCUGGGUUGGGGCCUGAGAAUGUGCAUCUCUAACAGGUUCUCAAGUGAAGCUGAUGCUGCAAGUCCCAGGUCGGUGCUUCGACAACUGGUGAAUGCUAUACUUUUCAGAUACUUUGAUAUCAAACGUUUGCAUGGCUGCAGCUACCUAAAGUGGUGUAUCAGUUUUACCAGAGGUUACUUUUCACUUAAUAUUGGCUUGGUUUAUUUUCAGACUUAAGAGUGGAACUUUUGGAGUGUGUUAUUAAUAGAUCCAUUUACAAGGCUCAUUUGGAGGAAGCUGUUCCAGUGCUUUCACUUACUUUAUAGAUGACCAUAAUUUUUGGAGAUUUCCAUGAUAUAAUUAAAACUAUGUCUUGGUCAUUUGUGUGACCUCUUUCAGUUUAUAAAGUUUUCAUCUAUGUUAUCUGGUUAUGGUAUUGCUCUUAUUGUAAAUAUUUUUAAAAUAUGUCUUUGGGUCUUUUUAGCAGCACUCCCAUGAGGUAGAGUGUUUGUUUUGCUUUUAUGGUGUUAGUCACAGAUCUAGGCUUAACUUCACAUUGUUUCCCAGUGAGUAUAUGUGCAGGUAACAUCAUAAAUGUUAUAAAAAGGGCGUGGUUACUGAAUAAUGAGAGGAAAACCCAGGCAAUACAAAGGAGUGUUAAUUAUAUGACUCUUUGAGACUUCAAAUACAUAGGCCUGCCCAGCUUGCUUCCUGGGAACCCUCCUUCCUGAUAAGCUUUCAAUUGGAAAGAGAAAGAGGCCUCAGCCAUAAAGGAAAACCUUUUUAGAGGGGUUCUGAGACCUAAAGGUCCAAGUUCCGGCAUUCCCUGAAGCCACAAGGUUUCUCUGCCUCAAGGUUUCUCUGAAAUCAGUUAGUGACAAUCGAAGGCAGCUAUGAAGAGGAAAAGUUAAAAAUACGCAGACUAUGUGGCCCUGGAGAAGAGGAGAGAAGCAUUUUGAUCCAGUUUGCUUCAGUUAUAGGGAAGUUCCCAAGCUAACUAGAUUGGUGGGAUAGCACUUUUUAUUUUAUCUAUACAAUUUUUGUUAUUGUGCUUGAACUUACAUAGUAAAGUGAACAAAUAUUCAGUGUACAACUAAAUGAAUUCUUUAACAUAUAUGUAUUCACGAACAUACAUAUAUGUUCGUGAACACACUCACUCUUGUACCCACCUUCCAGAUCAAGAUAAUAGAGCAUUCCCGUAACCACAAAAGGCUGCCUUAUUCCUAUUCCCAGUCAGUACCCCCAAAGGUAACUGCUGACUCUCUUGCCAUUGAAUGGUUUUACCUGUUCUUGAACUUUGUAUAAAUGGAAUCAUGCAGUAUGUA